UACGAAGGGGGCUAGCGUUGUUCGGAUUUACUGGGCGUAAAGCGCACGUAGGCGGGUUGUUAAGUCAGGGGUGAAAUCCCGGGGCUCAACCCCGGAACUGCCUUUGAUACUGGGUAUCUCGAGUCCGGAAGAGGUGAGUGGAAUUCCGAGUGUAGAGGUGAAAUUCGUAGAUAUUCGGAGGAACACCAGUGGCGAAGGCGGCUCACUGGUCCGGUACUGACGCUGAGGUGCGAAAGCGUGGGGAGCAAACAGG
rnacentral:rRNA from 1 species